UUCCAACAGCUCUACUGCCAACAGCUCUCCCAAACCGGGACUAAGAGAAGUGACAUAAGGUCGGUAACUUAACCGAGUAGAUGAUGAAGAAAGAGAGGAUCUUGGUGCAGUGCCAAUGGACAUAACGGUUUGAAUACGAGACCUCUCACUUGGAGAGAUGGAUGCCAACUAGCUUAGUUACCAGCUGUUAGUGUUGAAUACCAUUGUAUUAUUCUCUAUCUUGGGGCAUAGUGUGAAAUGAGGGGCACUAUUUCUCCACCAAAACCAUAUUCAUUGGGGAGGAUUUGGGUUGUGCUGCGGUGAUGCAGUUUUUGGGGCAUUGGAUUCACAUGGUUCGGUCCCAAGUCGGAAUUUCUUUUAUGUGUCUUUUCUAGUACAUCAUACCAUAUAUAUCCUUGCAUAAUAUUGCUUUCCAUAUUUGCUUAAAAUGAUUUUGAAAGUUUUCUCAUCGAUUUCUUGGUUUUUGAGAAUAUAUAUUGUAUUGAUUUUUUAUUUACAUAAAAUUCUUCUUAGAGUUACUUCU